GAUGAAGAACGCAGCGAAAUGCGAUACGUAAUGUGAAUUGCAGAUUUCAGUGAAUCAUCGAAUCUUUGAACGCACAUUGCGCCCGCUAGUAUUCUGGCGGGCAUGCCUGUUCGAGCGUCAUUUCAACCAUCAAGCCCCCGGCUUGCGUUGGAGCCCUGCGGCUGCCGCAGGCUCCCAAAUCCAGUGGCGGGCUCGUCGUCGUACCGAGUGCAGUAAACAUCCUCGCUCAGGGAACGUGACGGGUUCUUGCCGUGAAACCCCCCACAUAUCAAGGUUGACCUCGGAUCAGGUAGGAAUACUCGCUGAACUUAAGCAUAUCAAUAAGCGGAGGA
rnacentral:misc_RNA from 1 species